rnacentral:rRNA from 1 species
GAUGAACGCUAGCUACAGGCUUAACACAUGCAAGUCGAGGGGCAGCGGUAUCGAAAGCUUGCUUUCGGUAGCCGGCGACCGGCGCACGGGUGAGUAGCGCGUAUCGAACCUGCCUCAUACUCGGGAAUAGCCUUGCGAAAGUAAGAUUAAUGCCCGGUGUUUUCAGAGUCCCGCAUGAGGCUUUGAACAAAGAUUUAUCGGUAUGAGAUGGCGAUGCGUCCCAUUAGCUUGUUGGCGGGGUAACGGCCCACCAAGGCAUCGAUGGGUAGGGGUUCUGAGAGGAAGGUCCCCCACAUUGGAACUGAGACACGGUCCAAACUCCUACGGGAGGCAGCAGUGAGGAAUAUUGGUCAAUGGGCGGAAGCCUGAACCAGCCAAGUAGCGUGCAGGAAGACGGCCCUCCGGGUUGUAAACUGCUUUUAGUUGGGAAUAAAACGGGGCUCGUGAGCCCCCUUGCAUGUACCAUCAGAAAAAGGACCGGCUAAUUCCGUG